AUAAAAUAAAAAAAAAAACAUUAGGGUUUGCUUCUUCUUCGUCAUAAACUGAGAAAAGGGUUAUUGAGAACGGUGAUUUCCUAACCCACGUUGAACGGUGAUUUCCUAAUCCACCAGUUAUGCCAUAGACAAAAGAGUUGAUGUUCUUAUGGAUGAUAUUUCGAUCGGUGUUUGGUGAUUUAGGGUUUAAGAAGAAAUUGAUGAUGAAACUUAAGGGGGAAUCAGAGGUGAAAUUGAUAAGGGUUAUUGAGAACUGAGAUUGAUGAUUAAGUUAAGACAAUAGAAGAAUUUCAGAAACUAGGGUUUGGUUUUGGGAAGAGCAGCUAAGACUGAUUCUUAUUUGUUUCUUAUCCCUAAUCUUCAAACGACGUCAACAAAUCAACAUGUGCAAUAGCAUCAUCCUUCUGAGAUUUUCUGAUUUCCCGUUGAUUUCCUGAAAAUUUAAGGGUGAUAGAAAUUUGUAAGCUCUAUAAUGAAAAGAGGGUUUUGUUUAUGUCCUUGGAAUUCGGUUCUCUGCUCAAUUAUAUGAUAGGAAUCUGGAGAAGGGAGUUCUGUACUCCAGAUUUAAGGUGAUAAUUGUCUGUGAUGCUCUUGCACAAUCUGGAGAAGGGAGCUCACAUGCAUCAUUGUGGUAACAUUCAGGAUAUCCUGUAAAUAUAUAUUUUGACAGCACCUAGGGAUCAUGUUGAGAUAAUCUGUAGGUCUAAGAUGGGAAUUGGAACACAAGACAUAAAUAAGAAGUUGAAGCGUGAUUCUGGAAGACCUUCCGCUCCUAGAAAAGACCUACAGAUUUGGGCACCAUUAACUUAUCUGGGUUUUCUUUUAGUAUCUAUAUCUAUCAUUCUCGAAUCCUUGGCAGGUGAUGGUGGUACGCUACGAACUUGCCUUAAGGAUGGGGUAGAUAUGCCCAGUUCAGUUUAGCAGAGGUAUGGCCAAUAAGCUUACUGUUAGAAAAGCUACGUAUUCGAGUUUGUAUCAUUCUAUAGUUUUCAGGAGGCCAUUUUGUUAACCCGUUUUUUUAACCCCAAUACUUGGAUUGAGGUUCGUAUAAAAUGAGCAUACGUUUGCUUCCGCUACUGUGCGCCCCUGUCCCGCGUUACAUUUGAUGAAGUUGUAACCCAAAGAAUAAUUAUUCAUUGAUUUAUUAGAUAAUGAUGUGAAUGCUGCUGUCGGGGAAGGAACGGUUUGUAAUCGAAUUGAUCCAGUGAAGCAAUUAGGUAUUAGUAUUUGACACUUUCUGUUUCAUACACUUGAGCAAGCCAAGUUCUUAACCUGCUCUAAUUUCCGAUGGAAUCAAUCAUGUGCAUCGAGACUGAAAUUUUCGGUUGAAUAGCACAUCCUUAUAUAUAAGGAACAAAAAAGGAAGAAAGAGUUUCUGUAACACUUCUUUUGGAUACUGAUAUGCGCUAAAAUUCUUGAAAAAAAUGCUCCAUAUGGGUUCCAAAGCAGUCUCCAUGGGUUGGUAGAAUCCCUUCUUUUUGUAUAUUAUAUAAUGCAAAUCAAUAGUUCAGUGGUUGCUCUUAGUUCUUUUAUGACCUAGUCAUUUACUUAGGUUGACAGUUUAGAUAUUGUUUCAGUUGAGAUGUUGUUUCAUUUUUGUAAUAUGCAACUUCUAGAAUGUCUUAAAACUUCCAUUUCCCUUGGCUAGAAAUUAAAUCGAAGAGUCUAUUAGUUCUUAUGCCUAUUUAUUGGUUCUCUCCUAGGUUUUUUACUACCAACACUUAUUCCAUAAUCAUUUAGUUGGUAUUACCUCUCGGGGUCUUUUAAACAUGUAAAAUGAUAGGGGAUCCAGUGUCGGAGGGAUUAUCCUCAUGCAAGCAAGGUUUAGGCCUAAAGGUGGCGAUUAUUCUUAAUCAAACCAGUGUUAUCUGGGCUUUCUAUUUACCUUUACUCGCUUUUCUUAGCUACAAAAACAUAUUAAUAGGAUUCUGAAACAAAAAAUAAUAUUUUUCUUUGGAUUCUAAAACAAAUGACGGCUGAAAGGGAACAUAGAAAAAGGGAACUUAAUCCAAUAUCUGCUUUGACACCAAACACGUCUCUUUUACAGGUUUUUGAUACGGCAACCUGUACAAGGUAUCCACUUCAUAUAUAUUUUCUUUUAAGUAUACCUGUUUCUUCAGGAGAUCGACAUACAAAUCAUGCAAACAAACUAAUCAAUGAUGGAUCAGGGGUUCUUGAAGUAGCGAUAUGAAGAUUAACAACGGUUUGUUCCAAUCGAAAAGUAUCUCAAGGAAUUCCCAAGGUUCUGCAACUUCAUUGCAUUAUGCAGAUAUGUUAAGUGGGGACUAUUCAAUGAUGCAUUCUAAGAACAUAAACUCAAUGAUGCAUUCUAAGUAAUCAAAUAGCGCAUGUAGAAAAACAUUAGUCAUUGUUUGGAUAAAUAUUAAUAUUGUAAUUGAUCUUAAAAUGUCUACAUAUGCUUCUGCAGGUACCUGACAAAGUGGCAAGUUGGUUCGUCAUGGAUUUUUCUUCCACAAUCCCAUUUGAGACUUUAAGAUUCAUGUUUACAUGAAGCAGCAAUAUGUAUAUCUCCUAUUACAUAUUGGGUUUGCUUAAAUUUUGAAGUCUAAGAAAUCUCAAACAACUUUUCACAAGGUUUGUGAACUGCUUCCUAAAGGUAAUUUGUUCCCACUGACCAAUUAGGUCAGAGUCAACGUCCACAUCGAAUAUGGAGAAGGCACACCUUUGGAAGGUCCUAACCUUUCCACCUGAGCAGAGGCAUCAAGCACUUCUGGAUUAGCAAACUGGUAUCUCGAUCUGUUGUCAAUCCAGAGGAACAAACAAUGAAGUGCAUACAAAGAUCAAGAAAGAAAUGAAGUCGUUGGUGGUAGUGCCGAGUUAUUGGAUUCUGAAGGCCAUGUCAGUGGGAUUACGAUGAUCACUUUCAGUUGGUAUAAGUAGUUGCAUGAUAUUUUAAAAUUUUAGUUCAUUGCACAUUGACUGAUUCCCUUUAGUUUGAGAUGUAAAUUCCAAUUCGGCAGGAAGUUAAAAUUACCAGUUCUAAGGCUAGACUAUCGGAUUGACUGCACAGACAAAAAAGCUUCCACUUAAUAUUUUGAGUAAACAUAGUUGCCAGGGGCGAAACUACAGCCCAGCAUGGGAUGGCUUAAGCCACCCUCAAACAAAUUCUUUUGGUUAAUAUGGUGAAGCCAUCCCAUAUAUAUUUGAGUAUGAAUUUUGUUUCU